rnacentral:rRNA from 1 species
CCUACGGGGGGCUGCAGUGGGGAAUAUUGCACAAUGGGCGCAAGCCUGAUGCAGCCAUGCCGCGUGUGUGAAGAAGGCCUUCGGGUUGUAAAGCACUUUCAGCGGGGAGGAAGGCGGUGAGGUUAAUAACCUCAUCGAUUGACGUUACCCGCAGAAGAAGCACCGGCUAACUCCGUGCCAGCAGCCGCGGUAAUACGGAGGGUGCAAGCGUUAAUCGGAAUUACUGGGCGUAAAGCGCACGCAGGCGGUCUGUCAAGUCGGAUGUGAAAUCCCCGGGCUCAACCUGGGAACUGCAUUCGAAACUGGCAGGCUAGAGUCUUGUAGAGGGGGGUAGAAUUCCAGGUGUAGCGGUGAAAUGCGUAGAGAUCUGGAGGAAUACCGGUGGCGAAGGCGGCCCCCUGGACAAAGACUGACGCUCAGGUGCGAAAGCGUGGGGAGCAAACAGGAUUAGUACCCUAGUAGUC